rnacentral:lncRNA from 1 species
GAGAAGAGGUGAGCUUCUCUUCCUUUUUCUCUUGCAUUUCUUUCCCUAGCUCUCUAAUUCUAAGAUUUGAUCUCUUUUUCUUCCUCUCCUCUUUGGAUGCAUAUGAGACCCCGAGUAGUCCUAUAUAUAAGAUAUAAUAGGGCUAAACUCUUAACCCGGCUUAAGCAUUUUGGGUGGUGGAGAGGCCCAAGAGGUUAAGAGAGUUAAGCGUGCUGGGACGGGAGUAGUCCUAGGAUAGGUGACCCCCUGGGAAGUUGGGGCGUCACAGUUGGUAUCAGAGCCAAUUACCAGCCGAAAGUGUGAGAUGAGUCUCGGCUGAGCCAGGGUCUGGAUGACGGGCUAGCGAGACUAGUCUCACAUCGCCUGGUACUUGUGAGUCUGAGCCUGACGAGGACGUCAGGGCGUAAAGGGGGGGAGAUUGUGAGACCCCAGGUAGUCCUAUAUAUAAGAUAUAAUAAGGCUAAACUCUUAACCCGGCUUAAGCAUUUUGGGUGGUGG